GUACUCGAGUGGCGAACGGGUGAGUAACACGUGGGUGAUCUGCCCCUGACUUUGGGAUAAGCCUGGGAAACUGGGUCUAAUACCGAAUAUUCAUUUUUCCUCGCAUGGGGAUUGGUGGAAAGCUUUUGCGGUUGGGGAUGGGCCCGCGGCCUAUCAGCUUGUUGGUGGGGUAAUGGCCUACCAAGGCGACGACGGGUAGCCGACCUGAGAGGGUGAUCGGCCACACUGGGACUGAGACACGGCCCAG
rnacentral:rRNA from 1 species